rnacentral:rRNA from 1 species
CUGGCUCAGGACGAACGCUGGCGGCGUGCUUAACACAUGCAAGUUGAACGGUAUGACAUGGAAGCUUGCUGAAGUGUCAUAUAGUAGCGGACGGGUGAGUAAUGCAUGAGAAGCUGCCAUUGGGAGGGGGACAACAGUUGGAAACGGCUGCUAAUACCCCGUAUGCCGGAAGGUGAAAGGGAGCGAUCCGCCCGAUGAGGUGCUCAUGUCCUAUCAGCUGGUUGGUGGGGUAACGGCCUACCAAGGCGACGACGGGUAGCCGGCCUGAGAGGGUGAACGGCCACACUGGAACUGAGAUAUGGUCCAGACUCCUACGGGAGGCAGCAGUGGGGAAUAUUGGGCAAAUGGGGGCAACCCUGACCCAGCGACGCCGCGUGGGGGAAGACGGCCUUCGGGUUGUAAACCUCUUUUGUACGGGAAGAAGGAAGUGACGGUACUGUACGAAUAAGUCCCGGCUAACUACGUGCCAGCAGCUGC